rnacentral:rRNA from 1 species
UACGGGGGGGCAAGCGUUGUUCGGAAUUACUGGGCGUAAAGGGCUCGUAGGCGGCCAACUAAGUCAGACGUGAAAUCCCUCGGCUUAACCGGGGAACUGCGUCUGAUACUGGAUGGCUUGAGGUUGGGAGAGGGAUGCGGAAUUCCAGGUGUAGCGGUGAAAUGCGUAGAUAUCUGGAGGAACACCGGUGGCGAAGGCGGCAUCCUGGACCGAUUCUGACGCUGAGGAGCGAAAGCCAGGGGAGCAAACGGG